GAUCAUGGCUCAGGAUGAACGCUGGCGGCGUGCUUAACACAUGCAAGUCGAACGGAGUUUUAACGGAAGUUUCGGAUGGAAGUUAAGAACUUAGUGGCGGACGGGUGAGUAACGCGUGGGUAACCUGCCUCAGUACAGGGGGAUAACAGUUAGAAAUGACUGCUAACACCGCAUAAUAUAGUGAAACCGCAUGAUUUUGCUAUCAAAUAUUUAUAGGUAUGAGAUGGGCCCGCGUCUGAUUAGCUAGUUGGUGGGGUAAAGCCUACCAAGGCGACGAUCAGUAGCCGGCUUGAGAGAGUGACCGGCCACAUUGGGACUGAGACACGGCCCAAACUCCUACGGGAGGCAGCAGUGGGGAAUAUUGGACAAUGGGGGAAACCCUGAUCCAGCGAACCGCCGCGUGAGUGAAGAAGUAUUUCGGUAUGUAAAGCUCUAUCAGCAGGGAAGAUAAUGACAGUACCUGACUAAGAAGCCCCGGCUAACUACGUGCCAGCAGCCGC
rnacentral:rRNA from 1 species